rnacentral:lncRNA from 10 species
AAGCAGGCUGCCGGAACCAGCAGUGGCAACCCGCUCGGGUCCCCUUCCACACUGUGGAAGCUUUGUUCUUUCGCUCUUUGCAAUAAAUCUUGCUACUGCUCACUCUUUGGGUCCACACUGCUUUUAUGAGCUGUAACACUCACCGCGAAGGUCUGCAGCUUCACUCCUGAAGCCAGCGAGACCACGAGCCCAUCGGGAGGAACAGCAACUCCAGAGGCGCCGCCUUAGGAGCUGUAACACUCACCGCGAAGGUCUGCAGCUUCGCUCCUGAGCCAGCGAGACUACGAACCCACCAGAAGGAAGAAACUCCGAACACAUCCAAACAUCAGAAGGAACAAACUCCAGAGGCGCCACCUUAAGAGCUAUAACACUCACCACGAGGGUCCGCGGCUUCAUUCUUGAAGUCAGUAGACCAAGAACCCACCAAUUCCUGACACAAAAUGAUCCAUCCAAAGGAAUUCUAGAAAGCCCCAAAGUAACAAUAUGGGUCUUUAUAUAUUAAUAUGGAAAGACAUGCAAGAUACAUGUGAAAUAAAAGUUGCAGAAGUAUCUAUAAUGUAGGGGCAACAGGUAGUCCAGGUUUUCUAGGGACUAACGGGGUUCCUGGGAUAUGGGACUCUAGUUUUGAGACUUGAAAAGCCCCAUGCAAACAGGGACAAACUGAUCAACCUAGACAAUGACAUUUCACUUCUAUAAUGGUGACAAAUAUAGUCUAUCAAUUAAGGUUUUUUCAGGUGCAAAACACAGAAAACCCUGGCUUAUUCGACUUACACAAUGAGGAUGUUUGCCAUCAUGCCCUUAAAGAAGUCCAUAUUCAACAUGUCAGCUUGGUUCUCUGGCUCACUCCCUCAUAGACACAGAUGGCUGUCAUGGUUCUAAGUGUCCAGUUCAAAUAAGGUGACAUCCAGCAGAGGAAGACAGGCCAGAAUUGCAUUGUGGGCCCUCUCUUAAGCCAGCCUUUGGCACAGGAAUUAGCUUGGAUUUCCUGAACAAGAUGGGGUUGUUUAGAAAAGAACAAAGGUAGAUGUUAUACAGACAGCCAACGAUGUCUUUUAUGUAUACAUUUUUAUAUAUCACAUAUAUAUAUGCAUUGAAAAUUCUGCAACUCAAGUGAUCCACCUGCCUCGGCCUCCCAAAGUUCUGGGAUUGCAGGCGUUGAGCCACUGCAUA